rnacentral:rRNA from 1 species
UACAGAGGUCCCAAGCGUUGUUCGGAUUCACUGGGCGUAAAGGGCGCGUAGGUGGCCUGAUAAGGGUGUGGUGAAAGUCCGGGGCUCAACCCCGGAUCUGCCGUGCCGACUGUUAGGCUAGAGUACUGUAGGGGCAGGCGGAAUUCCGGGUGUAGCGGUGGAAUGCGUAGAGAUCCGGAGGAAGACCGGUGGCGAAGGCGGCCUGCUGGGCAGUUACUGACACUGAGGCGCGACAGCGUGGGGAGCAAACAGG